rnacentral:rRNA from 1 species
UACGUAGGGUGCGAGCGUUGCCCGGAUUUAUUGGGCGUAAAGAGCGCGCAGGCGGUCGUCCAAGUCGGGUGUGAAAGCCCCCGGCUCAACUGGGGAGGGUCACGCGAUACUGGUCGACUCGAAGGCAGGAGAGGGUAGUGGAAUUCCCGGUGUAGUGGUGAAAUGCGUAGAUAUCGGGAGGAACACCAGUGGCGAAGGCGACUACCUGGCCUGUUCUUGACGCUGAGGCGCGAAAGCUAGGGGAGCAAACGGG